rnacentral:tRNA from 1 species
UUCAGGAUGGCCGAGCGGUCCAAGGCGCUGCGUUCAGGUCGCAGUCCGGUCUUCCGGGCGUGGGUUCGAAUCCCACUUCUGACA